rnacentral:rRNA from 1 species
ACGGGAGGCAGCAGUGGGGAAUAUUGCGCAAUGGGCGAAAGCCUGAUGCAGCGACGCCGCGUGAGGGAAGAAGGAUUUCGGUAUGUAAAGCUCUAUCAGCAGGGAAGAAAAUGACGGUACCUGACUAAGAAGCCCCGGCUAACUACGUGCCAGCAGCCGCGGUAAUACGUAGGGGGCAAGCGUUAUCCGGAAUGACUGGGCGUAAAGGGCGUGUAGGCGGCUUUUUAAGUCUGAAGUGAAAGUCCUGCUUUCAAGGUGGGAAUUGCUUUGGAGACUGGAAGGCUUGAGUGCGGAAGAGGUAAGUGGAAUUCCCAGUGUAGCGGUGAAAUGCGUAGAGAUUGGGAGGAACACCAGUGGCGAAGGCGACUUACUGGGCCGUAACUGACGCUGAGGCGCGAAAGCGUGGGUAGCAAACAGGAUUAGAUACCCUGGUA